GACGAACGCUGGCGGCGUGCUUAACACAUGCAAGUCGAACGGAAAGGCCCUGCUUUUGUGGGGUGCUCGAGUGGCGAACGGGUGAGUAACACGUGAGUAACCUGCCCUUGACUUUGGGAUAACUUCAGGAAACUGGGGCUAAUACCGGAUAGGAGCUCCUGCUGCAUGGUGGGGGUUGGAAAGUUUCGGCGGUUGGGGAUGGACUCGCGGCUUAUCAGCUUGUUGGUGGGGUAGUGGCUUACCAAGGCUUUGACGGGUAGCCGGCCUGAGAGGGUGACCGGCCACAUUGGGACUGAGAUACGGCCCAGACUCCUACGGGAGGCUGCAGUGGGGAAUAUUGCACAAUGGGCGGAAGCCUGAUGCAGCAACGCCGCGUGCGGGAUGACGGCCUUCGGGUUGUAAACCGCUUUCGCCUGUGACGAAGCGUGAGUGACGGUAAUGGGUAAAGAAGCACCGGCUAACUACGUG
rnacentral:rRNA from 1 species